UUUUGGGAAAGUAUGUGAGUUUCUCCAGGAAGGGUUUACACGCUGUUCAUCUGUGCAAAUUUCAGACUGUGUGCAGAGCCAAGAACUUCAGCAGCCCUGAGGUGCUAUUUAGGUAGAGGAAACCGUAGCAGGCAGACAACACACACCUGAACAGGAGGGCUGUCCCUCCGCAGAGGAAACUGAGACGGUAUGGACAGAAGUGUUUGCAGGAGCUUUGCUGGGCAUGGUGGCUCAUGUCUGCAAUCCCAGCACUCAAGAGGCUGAGAGAAAACUCAGCUCAGUACCGUGCUGUUGCCCUCAGCAAACACAGGAUGUCAUAAGGAGAGAGAAGGUAGAACAUGGAAUCUUCCCAGCCCCAGGACAUCUGAGAACAUCCAUACGUCCACACUGGAUGCUUUGAGGACUUUGAACACUGAGGCACUGGAUAUUUGGAGGUCUUUGCCCACUGAUGUUUGCUCAGGUCUCAUCUAAUGUCCCUUGCCUUCCUUCAAGCCUUAUAAUGAUGCCUGACUCUCUUCAUUCCCCAUGGAUGGCCUUUUCGCCCUCCAUCUGCCUGCACCAGGUACGAUGCCAGAUUCUGCACAACAGACUGAUACAACAGUUGAGAUGCUAUCAGCACUCUGGAGGCUCCUGUGGGUUAAAUGGGUGAGAUCAGCAAGUGUCGUAGUUGUUGAAGACGUGAGUACCAAACGGAAUGUUUUUCUUAAUUUAAUCAUCAAGAAAGAGACAGCUCCUUCCUCCAUGACUCAACUCGUUCUCCAUGGGCCCACUUCCGGCUCCGCAGAAAGCAGGUGUACCUCCAGGGUGAGUGGAACAAAUGGAACACACAGAACACGCGUCAUGGUUCUCCAUUCUGAUGGGCCCCAGAGCAGAUGGAAGACUUCAAUGGGAAUAUUGAAGUUACCAUUUUAA
rnacentral:lncRNA from 1 species